GGCUUUAUAGUCAAUGUAAUAUGAUGUUAGACUGCAAUUCUAAAGUAGAGGAACAUAUAAUCCUCUAAAGCUU
rnacentral:tRNA from 1 species